rnacentral:rRNA from 1 species
UAGCCUCGGGAAACUGGGAGUAAUACCGUAUGUGCCCUUCGGGGGAAAGAUUUAUCGCCUUUUGGAUUAGCCCGCGUUGGAUUAGGUAGUUGGUGGGGGUAAUGGCCUACCCAAGCCGACGAUCCGAUAGCNGGUUUGAGAGGAUGAUCAGCCACACUGGGACUGAGACACGGCCCAGACUCCUACGGGAGGCAGCAGUGGGGAAUCUUAGACAAUGGGGGAAACCCUGAUCUAGCCAUGCCGCGUGAGCGAUGAAGGCCUUAGGGUUGUAAAGCUCUUUCAGCUGGGAAGAUAAUGACGGUACCAGCAGAAGAAGCCCCGGCUAACUCCGUG